rnacentral:rRNA from 1 species
ACGCUAGCUACAGGCUUAACACAUGCAAGUCGAGGGGAAACGAUAUUGGAAGCUUGCUUCCGAUAGGCGUCGACCGGCGCACGGGUGAGUAACGCGUAUCCAACCUGCCCAUCACUUGGGGAUAACCUUGCGAAAGUAAGACUAAUACCCAAUGAUAUCUCUAGAAGACAUCUGAAGGAGAUUAAAGAUUUAUCGGUGAUGGAUGGGGAUGCGUCUGAUUAGCUUGUUGGCGGGGUAACGGCCCACCAAGGCGACGAUCAGUAGGGGUUCUGAGAGGAAGGUCCCCCACAUUGGAACUGAGACACGGUCCAAACUCCUACGGGAGGCAGCAGUGAGGAAUAUUGGUCAAUGGACGAGAGUCUGAACCAGCCAAGUAGCGUGCAGGAUGACGGCCCUAUGGGUUGUAAACUGCUUUUAUAAGGGAAUAAAGUGAGAGUCGUGACUCUUUUUGCAUGUACCUUAUGAAUAAGGACCGGCUAAUUCCGUGCCAGCAGCCGCGGUAAUACGGAAGGUCCGGGCGUUAUCCGGAUUUAUUGGGUUUAAAGGGAGCGUAGGCCGGAGAUUAAGCGUGUUGUGAAAUGUAGAUGCUCAACAUCUGCACUGCAGCGCGAACUGGUUUCCUUGAGUACGCACAAAGUGGGCGGAAUUCGUGGUGUAGCGGUGAAAUGCUUAGAUAUCACGAAGAACUCCGAUUGCGAAGGCAGCUCACUGGAGCGCAACUGACGCUGAAGCUCGAAAGUGCGGGUAUCGAACAGGAUUAGAUACCCUGGUAGUCCGCACGGUAAACGAUGGAUGCCCGCUGUUGGUCUGAAUAGGUCAGCGGCCAAGCGAAAGCAUUAAGCAUCCCACCUGGGGAGUACGCCGGCAACGGUGAAACUCAAAGGAAUUGACGGAA